rnacentral:lncRNA from 1 species
CAGGAGAACGUGGUAAGAAUGUGGGUUCUUGCCCAUAAGGAAGGAAGAGAUCACUUUAGGCAGUUACUGAUAAUUUAAAACUUUUGUCUUUCAGUUGGUGCAAGCAUUCAUUUAUUCACAAUUUUAAAUCUUAUACUCUCGUGCAAUUACAAGGGUCAAAGAAGUCAAAGCUUGCUCCAGCUUCUUUAUACUUUCCCUUCUGCAUGCUUGCAGAUAAAACUCAGAUUUGUGAUGCCAAAUUUUUGAUGUAGACAGUGUUUGGAAGUUGCUACCCCUGGACUUACGAAUUGCCUUCAUAGAAUCUAGGGUUAUCCUCACCAUUUUUGGUACAGCUGAUUUACAGGCAACUUGAAAUAACAACAACAAAUCCCUCAUGAAUCAGCCGAAGCGUGACAGGGAGGUGGGGUAAAGUGGGUACCUCCACCCAGUUCACCAGUAUUUCCCAAACCACUCCCAAGCAUUUCCUUCACCUGGGCCUCAGCCUGACCAAAGAUGAACCUCAGCUUAUUGAGUGGUAAGGAAAAUGGGAUCAUUAGAGAAAGGGGGAAUGCCUUUGUCAGCUUGGCUUAAUAAGAUCACAACCCAUCAGCUGACGCUGAUGACUCAAGGAGGGAGGCUGAAGUCAGGGUUAGCGCUAGGCCCAAAGGCCAGCUUUUUGGGCAAAUUACUCUGAGAACUGCACAGCCACACCAUCUGCCCUCUGCAGCAUUGCCCCAUCUGGAGCAGGUAUAAUGAGGGGCAGCAUCAUCACAAAGUGGCACCUGAAGUAUUGGUGGCUUUGGAAUCAGUCUAAGUCCAAGUAUUUCCUCUGCCCGUUACAAGUUGUAUAAAGUUGGACAACUUAAAGUGUCAGAGUCCCUUGAUUUAGGCACGAUUCAAGGCCCAGCUUGCGUUCCUACAGGACAACUAUGCUCUGUCAAUGCACUUCAGUGAGCUAUUUCUGCCCUCCCCAUCUGUCCAUGAGCUCCUUGAGUGCAUCCUUAUACAUUUUUGUUGCUCCAGUCUCUGGCAUGGUCCCUGUCACACCAUAAGGCCUCUAAACAUGUAUAAUGAAUUAAUAAAUACUGAAAAAUUGUGAUGGUCACUGGAGGCUCGGUGGUGAUAAGCCUUAUUAUCUGCUCUAUAUUAUACAUCCUAUUAUGAACAUGCCGUCUUUGAGAGCACAUUAAACAAAUGCAUUAAUGCAAGGAUGAACACUUACCAAGGAUUAAGUGUACUGAAUACAAGAAUCCAGAACAGCUAAAAGAAAAAUACUUGUAAUAUAAUGAUUGUGUCCAUAGAACAACUGUGUUAUAAACAAAAGAAGUCCAAGGCAAAUUGUGUUAUUUUCCCAGUAGUUUUGUGAUCUGUUUUGUGUUCUUACGGUAAGGCCUGAUAAGAACCAUGUUCCACAAUGCAUGUGUAAGCAUGACCUAAAAAUACAUAUAGUUUAAAUUCCUGCCUAACAUUCAAAAUCUAACAUUUGAUAUAUCCAAAAACUGUAUGAACUUUUGAUCCCUAAAUAUAUAUUGUUUUGCCAUUAAAGGAGUGACAGUUAUUCUCACUUCUGAUACUUACUUCCAUUUCGAGGUAACUUCUGUUACAGUCCUGCCUUGCUCUGCCCUUUUACUCCUUCCUGAGUGAGGAAAAAUGAAAGAAGAGAAUUACAAGAUGCCUUCUUAUAGAAAUAUAUGUUCUGUUUUGCCUUUCCAUGCCUUUGGUUUGUAAGGACGGGCUCCAUGGGAGAGGCUUACAGUUGUCCCAUGCUGCCAGUGGAUGACAAAGUCUGUCUCAAUGCAGUGUUAAGAAGCUAGCUGUUGCCACAGACAUAAGCCAUGUUCUCUAAUAUCAGUUUCAUCAGUAAUAGUGAUAUAUCCAUCUGCCUGAAGGCCUGCGCCUAUUUCUGAGUUAGUAGAAACAGGAGAGAAUGGUGAUGUUUCUUGUGCUUCCUCAAACCCCAGCUCAACAGUGCUUGCUCGUUAAAUAGUAUGGACAGUUUAUAAAAUAGCAGCUCUUUGGAAUUCUAAUCAAAAAGGAGGGCAACUCUGACCAUUGUG